CUCUGUGGGUGGCGAGUGGCGGACGGGUGAGUAAUGCAUCGGGACCUACCUGAACGUGGGGGAUAACGUAGGGAAACUUACGCUAAUACCGCAUACGUCCUACGGGAGAAAGCGGGGGACCUUCGGGCCUCGCGCGGUCAGACGGACCGAUGUUCGAUUAGCUAGUUGGUAAGGUAAUGGCUUACCAAGGCGACGAUCGAUAGCUGGUCUGAGAGGAUGAUCAGCCACACUGGAACUGAGACACGGUCCAGACUCCUACGGGAGGCAGCAGUGGGGAAUAUUGGACAAUGGGCGCAAGCCUGAUCCAGCAAUGCCGCGUGUGUGAAGAAGGCCUUCGGGUUGUAAAGCACUUUUAUCGGGAGCGAAAUACCAUUGGUUAAUAACCGGUGGGGCUGACGGUACCCGAGGAAUAAGCACCGGCUAACUUCGUGCCAGCAGCCGCGGUAAUACGAAGGGUGCAAGCGUUAAUCGGAAUUACUGGGCGUAAAGGGUGCGUAGGCGGUUAGUUAAGUCUGUUGUGAAAUCCCCGGGCUCAACCUGGGAAUGGCAAUGGAAACUGGCUAGCUAGAGUGUGUCAGAGGAUGGUGGAAUUUCCGGUGUAGCGGUGAAAUGCGUAGAGAUCGGAAGGAACAUCAGUGGCGAAGGCGGCCAUCUGGGACAACACUGACGCUGAAGCACGAAAGCGUGAGGAGCAAACAGGAU
rnacentral:rRNA from 1 species